rnacentral:rRNA from 1 species
AUUGAACGCUGGCGGCAUGCUUUACACAUGCAAGUCGAACGGUAACAGGCCUUCGGGUGCUGACGAGUGGCGAACGGGUGAGUAAUGCAUCGGAACGUGCCCAGAGGUGGGGGAUAACGCAGCGAAAGCUGUGCUAAUACCGCAUGUGAUCUGAGGAUGAAAGCGGGGGACCAGGCAGCAAUGUUUGUCCUCGCGCCUUUGGAGCGGCCGAUGUCAGAUUAGGUAGUUGGUGGGGUAAAGGCCUACCAAGCCGACGAUCUGUAGCUGGUCUGAGAGGACGACCAGCCACACUGGGACUGAGACACGGCCCAGACUCCUACGGGAGGCAGCAGUGGGGAAUUUUGGACAAUGGGCGCAAGCCUGAUCCAGCAAUGCCGCGUGCGGGAAGAAGGCCUUCGGGUUGUAAACCGCUUUUGUACGGAACGAAAAGGCUCUGGCUAAUACCUGGGGCUGAUGACGGUACCGUAAGAAUAAGCACCGGCUAACUACGUG